rnacentral:rRNA from 1 species
GACGAACCGUCCAAACGUUGUUCGGAAUUACUGGGUGUAAAGGGUUCGUAGGCGGUGUGGCAAGUCGGGAGUGAAAUCUCUGGGCUCAACCCAGAGGCCGCUUCCGAAACUGCUGUGCUUGAGUGUGGGAGAGGCGCGUGGAAUUGCAGGUGUAGCGGUGAAAUGCGUAGAUAUCUGCAGGAACACCCGUGGCGAAAGCGGCGCGCUGGACCACAACUGACGCUGAGGAACGAAAGCUAGGGGAGCAAACAGG